rnacentral:rRNA from 1 species
UACGAAGGGACCUAGCGUAGUUCGGAAUUACUGGGCUUAAAGAGUUCGUAGGUGGUUAAAAUAGUUGGUGGUGAAAUCCCAGAGCUUAACUCUGGAACUGCCAUCAAAACUUUUUAGCUAGAGUAUGAUAGAGGAAAGUAGAAUUUCUAGUGUAGAGGUGAAAUUCGUAGAUAUUAGAAAGAAUACCAAUUGCGAAGGCAGCUUUCUGGAUCAUUACUGACACUGAGGAACGAAAGCAUGGGUAGCGAAGAGG